GCUGCCGAUGGUUGACGGGCGAGGACAAGGCGAGGAGUCGCCGCCUAUAGUGGACUGAUGACUGGUGUGGUGAGUGGCUUUCUUAGUUUCUCUUACUCCCCUUCUCUCUUUUUUUGUUGUUUUUGUUCUAUAUGCUGACUUGUUGAAUGUUGAGUAUUGUUUGAUAUUUCUUUAAUUUGUGUUAUUGCUUAUUAAUCAG
rnacentral:lncRNA from 1 species